rnacentral:rRNA from 1 species
GCCUAACACAUGCAAGUCGAGCGGUAGCACAGAGAGCUUGCUCUCGGGUGACGAGCGGCGGACGGGUGAGUAAUGUCUGGGAAACUGCCUGAUGGAGGGGGAUAACUACUGGAAACGGUAGCUAAUACCGCAUAAUGUCGCAAGACCAAAGUGGGGGACCUUCGGGCCUCAUGCCAUCAGAUGUGCCCAGAUGGGAUUAGCUAGUAGGUGGGGUAACGGCUCACCUAGGCGACGAUCCCUAGCUGGUCUGAGAGGAUGACCAGCCACACUGGAACUGAGACACGGUCCAGACUCCUACGGGAGGCAGCAGUGGGGAAUAUUGCACAAUGGGCGCAAGCCUGAUGCAGCCAUGCCGCGUGUGUGAAGAAGGCCUUCGGGUUGUAAAGCACUUUCAGCGGGGAGGAAGGCGAUGAGGUUAAUAACCUCAUCGAUUGACGUUACCCGCAGAAGAAGCACCGGCUAACUCCGUGCCAGCAGCCGCGGUAAUACGGAGGGUGCAAGCGUUAAUCGGAAUUACUGGGCGUAAAGCGCACGCAGGCGGUCUGUCAAGUCGGAUGUGAAAUCCCCGGGCUCAACCUGGGAACUGCAUUCGAAACUGGCAGGCUAGAGUCUUGUAGAGGGGGGUAGAAUUCCAGGUGUAGCGGUGAAAUGCGUAGAGAUCUGGAGGAAUACCGGUGGCGAAGGCGGCCCCCUGGACAAA